CACCCCUCAAGCAAGGCUUGUUUGUUGGGCACCUGCCCCCUAACCCGGGCAUGCCUGAAAGUCAAUGACGGCGUCGCGACCGAACUUCAAGCGUACCAAGUUUUUACAACCUCGCUUUGGAAGGUGCGGCCGGGGCUGGUCUUAACCAUAUUUUUUCAUAA
rnacentral:misc_RNA from 1 species